rnacentral:misc_RNA from 1 species
GAAAUUGGAAAUACCUGAUGGAGCCAUAAUUGAGAACAAGGAUAUUAAUGGUCCUGAAGACCUCUAAGAAAGUCGCUUGGCUAAAAAUGUGCUGGAGACAUGGAGGCUCUUUAAGGAUUCCUUCUCCAUCUUAGAAUGCCCAUGUAUCUUGAUAGGAGAAUAAGAGAGAUGCAUUUGUUUGCUGUGUCUGAAUUCGGAAUGUCUAUAUACUGGGGACCUGUUUUUGUUCAUACAAACUACCUUGACAAGAGGGUGUAAAACUAGGUUGGAGUGCGAUUGUUUCUACAGACUAGUAUAAUUUGGAUAUUUGAACCCCAAUUUCUGGCGAGAUUGGCGAGAAUGGUGAUGAUAUUUGAAUUUCUUGCUAAAAUUCUUGAUGAAAAAUUACAACUGAAGUCUGUACUGUACUUUUGUCGAAGUCAAUUCCAGCUUAAGAAUUUCUU